ensembl:lncRNA
GCGGCCAAGAAUCCCCUUCACACGUGCAGACAAAGAGCGCCAACAACACAGCCCAAAUAUGCACUUUUAAACUUUUUUAAACGCAACGACGACUUCCGUGAACAAAUACACUUCAAAGACUUCGGAGACCAUUUUGACGCAGAGAUGGGGACAAAGAAGUUGGGACGGGUCUGUCUGAACGUUGAAAUUCAGGGCAGUGGUCCGGUCUCCCUGUGGAUCUAUCGAAGACUGAGGUUUGGAAAAACAGCACCCUUGGGGUUUUCAUGGACACAGCGCCUUCAGCCGGGUUUCCUUUCCCCUGAAGAACAGAUGCUAUGACCUACUCAGCUAAGCCCUGGGAGGAGAGAUGAGGAGAGAAGAGGAGAGAAGAAGAGUGGAAUAAAAUACUCCGUCUUUGAUUGCUUCGUUGACUGCAUCCUCCUGCGUCUUCCUGCCUCCCUGCGCCCCACUUCCACAUCCACUGAGGGACAUCGUUCACUAGCAACCGUGCGGAUGGAUUCUGUGGGUUUGGUGAUCUGGAGCUUGCUGCCGUCAGGAAGGAACACCUUCAACAGUGAAGGAUGGACAGAGAGUCCAGCGGGCUCUGCAACCAGACUGGUUACCAGGACUGGCCACCCCUUGGAGCCUGCUUCCUCUCUAGGUUUCUUCCUAGUUUUCAGGAGUUGCUUUAGGUUGUUAGGUUGGGUGUCUGUAAACAACAGCUGUUGUAAAAAAGGAUAAAAAAAGACAUUAAUGAUGUAUUUUCAAAUUCUAAAAAUAGAAUCUUGUCUGGAUUAGACUAUGCAGCUUGUUUAGUUUCAUUGCAAGUAAUUUAUUUCACACUUCAGGCAGAUUUUUAUUUUUAAUUCAAGCUUUUCUUUUUGGCCAUUUCAAGAUUUUUUAAACCCAAGGAAGCCUUUUUUGCAGUGGGACUGGUAGAGGAUUUAGAGCAGAUGUUAGGGGAGAGAUUCCAUGGCCUCCCAGCAUCUACGAAGACAGGCCCAAGGCCAGUUGAACAGGACCGGGUUAAUGGGUCAUGUGCCUUGGCUAAUUUUGUCCCAAGUGUUGCAGGAAAUGUGUACCGGACAGUAGCAUUAAAUUAUCUUUUAAACUGCAAACUUCCCUCAGCCUCAUGGCACCACGUGAACAAAUCAUCGGAUGAACUACAUAAACCAGUAAAUCUUUUGAGAAAAAACGCGGAGCACUUGCAGAACAUUUUCUCUCUACCUUAUGAGAAAAAAGGCAGAAUAGCAUUAACUUCAAAACUCUCUCUGCACCAGCAAAGGGGGCCACUCGAGGUUGGUGCCAUGGGGCCCCCCCAUGUGGUAGUCCAGCCCUGCAUAUGGAGACUAGGGUGACACCACAUUGCCAAGGAUAACGGUAAAUUGUAAAUGUUUGAAAGCAUCUGAACUGUACAUUUUGUAUGCUUGAAAUGACACAAAGGAGAAAAGGCCUCCAUCAUCCCAUAGGUACUCAUGGCUCAGGGAAGCAGACUGCAAAACGUAUUAUUUGUGUGUUGAAAUGACGAGGCAGUUUGAAAGGCUUGGCUGUUGCUGACAUCACAUAGACCUUUUUUGGUUUAUAACAAUAUUUUCAUUUGUUGCAUUUUCUGUAGUUAUUGCUUAAUCUAUAGAGAAACGUUGUCAACCGAUCAUGUAAAAUUAUGGUUUUGUGAUCUAGGCCAGCCUGAUGAGUGCCUUUUCCUGAUUAAUGAAGACUGAUUAAUUCAGCUCCCUAAUGUGUCUGGUAUCAGCACCAGGUUUGGACCCAACCUCCACCUUUACACGGUUUACCUACCCUUCGGCUCAGUGGGCUAGCACGUUCUGUUCUGCAGAAUUGGGUCAUGUUAAAGUUCUGCUAAUUAAAUAAAUAAGAACCUUCAGAAACAACCUUUUGUGGUCUUCUGCUGCCCCAAUUGUUUUCCUUCCUUUGUCAGCGCUGUCAGUUUCUGGGUAUCGUAAUAGUGAUUAAUAGUGUAAUAGUGAAUAGUGACUGUCUACCCUGGAUAUUGGAGAAAGUCGGUUUAGGCAGAGAUCCGCUCUUUCAUUAACAUAUAUUGGCACCCUUCAUGAGUUCUGUCUGCUGAGAGAAUUCAAUGUUCCAACGACAUCAAGGUGGUCCGUCUAAUAACGACAUCAAGGUGGUCCGUCUAAUAACGACAUCAAGGUGGUCCUUCUAAUAACGACAUCAAGGUGGUCUGCUUAGCCUCAAGCCCCUCGCAAACCUAUCCUCCCCUAAUUUAGUCUCAGGUCACAGGUACUUACCAGCUGGGCUAAAUUAAACCUGGGUCCCUCAGGAAGAAAAACCGGUCACCUCAGCAGAUGGUUUUGUCAUUCUGAGCGUCAAACUGGGUGAGACCGGAGGUAUGUUCAUUUCCCCGACCAAUAAAAUGUCCCUACAGGACACAUUCAGUUAUGUAACCGCCCUGGGUUUGUCUGUUGGUCUGACUUAUCUGAAUGUGUCCAACAGAAAUUGUUUUUGAAAAACCUCUUUCUGGCUGAAUGAAUACAUCCCAAAUGGAAGACAAUUUUUUUGGGGAAAACCUGUCUUUAAAGCAGAGUAUUUUUCGCAGUCUGAACACCACCAAGUUCCCCACUUGACCGGUUGUCUAUGGUACUGCUAUGGCCCCUAGUCUCUCACCCAUAUUUGCUCUGGUCAAAGGUAGUGCACUAUGUGGACAAUAGGGUGCCAUUUGGGAAACAGCCCAGCUGGCCGGAGGCUAUCUGGGAGACAUACAGGAAGGAUCUAAACCACACAUGUGAUUGAUAGUGGCCCUGGGUCUCUGUUGGCUCCCUGCUGCCUGCACAGCCCAGCCAUCAGGCAGCUCCUGGUGGAAUAACACUGCAGUUGAUUGGAUGGCCCUCUGCUGAUGCAAUGUGUCAUUGUGUCAUACGGCAAUGUGUCAUUGUGUCAUACUGGAGGGUGUCAUUGUGUCAUAUGGCAGUGUGUCAUUGUGUCAUACGGCAGUGUGUCAUUGUGUCAUACGGCAGUGUGUCAUUGUGUCAUACGGCAGUGUGUCAUUGUGUCAAACGGCAGUGUGUCAUUGUGUCAUACAAGAGUGUGUCACUGUGUCAUAUGGGAGUGUGUAAUGCGGCAGUGUGUCACUGUGUCAUACGGCAGUGUGUAAAUACGGCAGUGUGUCAUAGGGCAGUAUGUUAUUGUGUCAUACAAGAGUGUGUCACUGUGUCAUAUGGCAAUGUGUCAUUGUGACAUAUGGGAGUGUGUAAUGUGGCAGUGUGUCAUUGGGUCAUACAGCAGUGUGUCAUUGUGUCAUAUGGCAGUAUGUCAUUGUGUCAUACAGCAGUUUGUCAUUGUGUCAUAUGGCAAUGUGUCAUUGGGUCAUACGGCAGUGUGUCAUUGUGUCAUACAGCAGUGUGUCAUUGUGGCAUACAGCAGUAUGUCAUUGUUUCAUAUGGCAGUGUGUCAUUGUGUCAUACAAGGGUCUGUCACUGUGUCAUAUGGCAAUGUGUCAUUGUGUCAAAUGGGAGUGUGUAAUACGACAGUGUGUCAUUGUGUCAUACGGCAGCAUGUUGUUGUAUCUGUGUCAUUGUUUAAUAUGGCCAUUGUGUUUAUUGUUAUGGGGUUCACAGACGGGAGAAAGAAGCAAGGGUGCAAGGGAGAAGGAGAAGCCUCCUCUUCUCCUCCUCCUGUAUUCUACUCAUCUUCUGCUCCCUUUCAACUUUUCUGCUCUUCCUGUCUUCUAUUCAUCUUCUGCUCCCUUUCUACUUUUCUGCUCUUUCUCUUUUCCUGUCUUCCCUCUAAUGUUAUCCUUCUGUUCUCCUCCUCUUCUCCUCCUGUUCUCCAUUUGCUCCCUCUCCACUCCUUGUUUUGUCUUCCAUUUCUCAGUGACUGGAGAAAAUGAGAGAGAAGAGUGCCUGAGGAUGGUGGGCGUUAGUGGAAAAAGGGCGAGAGGUCGUAAGUUAAGAAAGGCAAGGGGAAGCUUGUGUACUGGUCCAGCAAACUAUAGAUUGUUAUGAUAGGCCAAUGCUGUUGCUAUGGGAAUUAGAAUGUAUUGUUACCGAGAAC